rnacentral:rRNA from 1 species
AUGAACGCUGGCGGCGUGCCUAAUACAUGCAAGUCGAGCGAACAGACGAGGAGCUUGCUCCUCUGACGUUAGCGGCGGACGGGUGAGUAACACGUGGAUAACCUACCUAUAAGACUGGGAUAACUUCGGGAAACCGGAGCUAAUACCGGAUAAUAUAUUGAACCGCAUGGUUCAAUAGUGAAAGACGGUUUUGCUGUCACUUAUAGAUGGAUCCGCGCCGCAUUAGCUAGUUGGUAAGGUAACGGCUUACCAAGGCAACGAUGCGUAGCCGACCUGAGAGGGUGAUCGGUCACACUGGAACUGAGACACGGUCCAGACUCCUACGGGAGGCAGCAGUAGGGAAUCUUCCGCAAUGGGCGAAAGCCUGACGGAGCAACGCCGCGUGAGUGAUGAAGGUCUUCGGAUCGUAAAACUCUGUUAUUAGGGAAGAACAAAUGUGUAAGUAACUAUGCACGUCUUGACGGUACCUAAUCAGAAAGCCACGGCUAACUACGUG